CCGUCAGUAAGCGUGGGGGUACUGGCGGGCAAACUCACCACCAAACCUCAUUCUCACCGAACACCGGACCCACGGAGGACAGGUGAGGCCCAGCCCUGAGAAGACUCAGGCUGUCCAGGAGUGGC